UCAGAUUGAACGCUGGCGGCAGGCUUAACACAUGCAAGUCGAGCGGUAACAGGGGGUGCUUGCACCCCGCUGACGAGCGGCGGACGGGUGAGUAAUGCAUAGGAAACUGCCCAGUAGUGGGGGAUAGCCCGGGGAAACCCGGAUUAAUACCGCGUACGCYUUCGGGGGAAAGCAGGGGAUCUUCGGACCUUGCGCUAUUGGAUGUGCCUAUGUCGGAUUAGCUAGUUGGUGGGGUAAAGGCCUACCAAGGCGACGAUCCGUAGCUGGUCUGAGAGGAUGAUCAGCCACAUCGGGACUGAGACACGGCCCGAACUCCUACGGGAGGCAGCAGUGGGGAAUAUUGGACAAUGGGGGCAACCCUGAUCCAGCCAUGCCGCGUGUGUGAAGAAGGCUUUCGGGUUGUAAAGCACUUUCAGUGAGGAGGAAAACUCUGCGACUAAUACUCGUAGGGCUUGACGUUACUCACAGAAGAAGCACCGGCUAACUCCGUGCCAGCAGCCGCGGUAAUACGGAGGGUGCAAGCGUUAAUCGGAAUUACUGGGCGUAAAGCGCGCGUAGGUGGUUUGAUAAGCGAGAUGUGAAAGCCCCGGGCUUAACCUGGGAACGGCAUUUCGAACUGUCAGGCUAGAGUAUGGUAGAGGGUAGUGGAAUUUCCUGUGUAGCUGGUGAAAUGCGUAGAUAUGAGAAGGAACACCAGUGCGAAGCUGGCUACCUGGACCAAUACUGACACUGAGGUGC
rnacentral:rRNA from 1 species